CAACGUUUCAGUCCUACUCAAGGACUUUCAUCAGGAUUAUGUAAACAUAAUCCUGAUGAAAGUCCUUGAGUAGGACUGAAACGUC